rnacentral:rRNA from 1 species
GAUGAACGCUGGCGGCGUGCCUAAUACAUGCAAGUCGAGCGAAUGGAUUAAGAGCUUGCUCUUAUGAAGUUAGCGGCGGACGGGUGAGUAACACGUGGGUAACCUGCCCAUAAGACUGGGAUAACUCCGGGAAACCGGGGCUAAUACCGGAUAACAUUUUGAACCGCAUGGUUCGAAAUUGAAAGGCGGCUUCGGCUGUCACUUAUGGAUGGACCCGCGUCGCAUUAGCUAGUUGGUGAGGUAACGGCUCACAAAGGCAACGAUGCGUAGCCGACCUGAGAGGGUCAUCGGCCACACUGGGACUGAGACACGGACCAGACUCCUACGGGAGGCAGCAGUAGGGAAGCGUCCGCAAUGGACGAAAGUCUGAGGGAGCAACGCAGCGUGAGGGAUGAAGGCUUUCGGGUCGUAAAACUCUGUUGUUAGGGAAGAACAAGUGCUAGUUGAAUAAGCUGACACCUUGACGGUACCUAACCAGAAAGCCACGGCUAACUACGUGCCAGCAGCCGCCGUAA